AUGAGUCUGUUCCCUCCUCACCCCUCUAAAGCCUGUAUAAAAACACCAUCAGGACAAGAUUCUGCAUCCAGUUUCUUAACUCAUCUCUUGAUCAAGGACUUCAGAGAGUUUGAUCAGCAACCAACUCAAGAUGUCUCUAACCCCAUUAGAAUCAGCAUUGCAAACUAUUGCCAACAUUUUCAACCAAUACAAGGAGGAUGGAAGGAAUCCUCCCACAGUCACCAAGGAAAGAAUGCAGAAGCUGAUGAAGGAUCAGCUCCCAAAUUUGAUACAGGAAAACAACCCAGGGACUUCUGAAGAGAGCCACAGAUAUGAAGUCAAAGUCAGUUUUGAUAUUUUCCAGGAACUCGCUCUAGUGC